GAUGAACGCGGGCGGCGUGCCUAAUACAUGCAAGUCGAGCGAACAGACGAGGAGCUUGCUCCUCUGACGUUAGCGGCGGACGGGUGAGUAACACGUGGAUAACCUACCUAUAAGACUGGGAUAACUUCGGGAAACCGGAGCUAAUACCGGAUAAUAUAUUGAACCGCAUGGUUCAAUAGUGAAAGACGGUUUUGCUGUCACUUAUAGAUGGAUCCGCGCCGCAUUAGCUAGUUGGUAAGGUAACGGCUUACCAAGGCAACGAUGCGUAGCCGACCUGAGAGGGUGAUCGGCCACACUGGAACUGAGACACGGUCCAGACUCCUACGGGAGGCAGCAGUAGGGAAUCUUCCGCAAUGGGCGAAAGCUUGACGGAGCAACGCCGCGUGAGUGAUGAAGGUCUUCGGAUCGUAAAACUCUGUUAUUAGGGAAGAACAAAUGUGUAAGUAACUAUGCACGUCUUGACGGUACCUAAUCAGAAAGCCACGGCUAACUACGUG
rnacentral:rRNA from 1 species